rnacentral:rRNA from 1 species
UACGGAGGGUGCAAGCGUUAUCCGGAUUUACUGGGUUUAAAGGGUGCGUAGGCGGGGAUGUAAGUCAGUGGAGAAAUACCGGAGCUUAACUUCGGAACUGCCAUUGAUACUAUAUGUCUUGAAUAUUGUGGAGGUAAGCGGAAUAUGUCAUGUAGCGGUGAAAUGCAUAGAUAUGACAUAGAACACCGAUUGCGGAGGCAGCUUGCUACGCAAAUAUUCACGCUGAGGCACGAAAGCGUGGGGAGCAAACAGG